CCAGGCGCCCGGAGCCGUUCGUGUCGUAGGUGGCGAAGACGGAGCGCAGCCGGGUCAGCUCCUCAGGGUCCGCGUCCGCCUCCAUGGCGCCGCUGGCCACCGCGGGGCUCCGAGCUCCGGGGCUCGGCCAGUGGAGCAGGUCCGGCCGGUUCCGCCACCUGCCGCGGGCGGGGAUGUCCGGGUGAGGCGGGGCGCAGGAGAGCCAGACGCUCGCCUCCAGCUGCAGCCGCCCGACUGCUGCCCUGAGCCACAGAGCGCCACUGGUCACCUUCCUGUGAGUAAGCUCCACCCUACCUUGGAGUAAAGACACAGGCUGGCUCCCAGACUUUCUUCUGCAACAGCUGGACCAUCUCUCUGUUAAGCUUUGGGGACUUGCUGGAGGCACAAACACAGAUCAUAAUGGCCUCUUAUUCAAGUUCUCCUCUGCACCCCAGAUACUGACCCUGCCUGCCUGAACAUGGAGUGCAAACACACCCGCACCGACCAAAGGGGGAAAGUGAGUAGAGAUAAGAUUCCAAAUUGGCUAAAGUUAUUGGCCAUGUAUCCUCUCGUAAUUCCAGACACAUGAGGAAACCGGCACAGCAUUGCCACAAUGGAAUGCAAAAUCAAUUUCAGGAAGGAGAGAUUUAUUAUAGUUUACAAGUCCACAGGAUACAAGCUAUCAAGGCUGCAGGAACCUUUGGGACAUCACUAGCAGUGCUCUGUGAGGAAA
rnacentral:lncRNA from 1 species